AUUGGACAAAUUAGAGGGAGCAAAAACACCAACCAGUACUUUCUCGGAAAUCUCCUAAAUUGAAAUGAAAAUUAGGUCAAAACCUCAGGAGAAUGUUAAGCAAUCAUUCUGUCAGUAUCAGAAAGCACCCCUCUCUCUCUCUCUCUCUCUCUCUCUCUCUCUCUCGUAAAACCCCCAACCCCUAACUCUUCCACUGAAAAUUAGACCAAAUUCAGGAGUAAUGUCUGACUAUUUUCCAAAGGAUAUCAUACAGGAAAUCCUCCAGAGGUUGCCCACCAAGUGUUUGAUCAAAUGCACCUUAGUGUGCAAGCCAUGGAGGUCUCUGAUUCAAAGCCCUAGCUUCAUCCACAGCCACCUCCGCCGCACAAUCCAUUCCAACAACCAGGACGCAGCCGUUGGCCUCCUUCUGCUGAGGGCUUUCGCCGGCAACGAAAACAGCGCGCUUUACUCCUUGCGUUGGGAUAACUCUGAAACCGGUGAGCAUUCCAAGCUUGUAAAUCCUUACCCUUACAUUAAAGAAGCUAUUUUCUCCCCAAGUGAAAGAGUUGUAGUUCGGGACUUCCAUGUGGUAGGAGCUUGUAAUGGGCUCGUAUGCCUUGCUGUUGACUUUGCCUAUGUUGGUUCCCAAACAAUCAUUUGGAACCCUUCUGUUAGAAAGUUUGUAACUUUGCCUAGGCGUGGUGUUUCACUGAGCAAAACUGGUAAGCAUAGAGCAAGCUAUGCUUUUGGGUAUGAUUCGCGUACCAAUGACUAUAAAGUUUUGAGAAGUACGAGUAAUAGGUACGGGAAAACCCCAUGUGAGGUUGAGAUUUGGUCGUUACUCAGGGGCUCCUGGAAGAGUCUUAGUGCUGCUGUUGUUCCAGAAGAUUUCAUGUUUGGAGUUUAUAAUAAUGGUAAUGUUGUUCCUGGGAAUUUUGGGCCUGUAGAUAAACAUGCUUUUGUCAAUGGUGCUCUUCACUGGGUUCAACGCCGUACUGUAGGGGAGGACAAAUUCAUUUUGUGGUUUCAUAUGGGCAGUGAAUUAUUUGGAGAGAUAAUGAUGCCUGAAGGUUUGACAAGAGAGCGUUGCUUUGUUUUAAGGUACGAGGAGUCCCUUGCCUUGUUAAAGAGUGAAGAACUACAGGGAAAUUGUUCUAAAUUCGACAUUUGGGUGAUGAAAGAGCAUGGUGUGGUGGAAUCGUGGACUAAAUUAUUUACCGUACACCUGCAACGCCAUAUGUUGGAGCCAUUUUGUUUUACAAGGAGCGGUGAACUAGUGUUCAAAAUGUGUGGAAGUGGUCGACGGCUGCUAAAGGUGGAUCUUAAGACGGAAGAGUUUAAAUAUUUUGGAAUUGAUGGAUAUAUGUGUCACUUCAUGGAUUCUUUUGUGGAGAGCCUUGUCUUACUUGGCCAAGCCAAUGCUAUUUCUUACUGAGGAGCCAGCAAGAAGUAAGAACAGUAACUCUAUUAGUUCACCACAUGAGCUCUGAAAAAAUGGAUCCUCUUCUACUACUACUAAAAUCCAUAGGAGUCCCAUUUACAGUUGUCCAAUAUCAAUUGUUGAAUUGUUUAGCUUAUUGUUGGGGUUAAGGAUUAACUUGUCUAAGAAUGUGUUAGAGGGUGUCAAUGUGGAUGUGGAUGGGCUUGGGUCUCUAGCUAGAGAUUUGGGAAGUAGGUGUCUAGCCGCUAAGCUAUUUUGGUCUUCCCUCUGGCGGUAAUCCUUGUGGCUUUUCUUUUAGGUAUCCUGUGGUAAUAAAAGGUCGGAAGAGAGGUUGAUUGAGGGGGCACGGCUGGUACUAACCUUAAUUUAGUUGGUGUUGUUGAGUAGCAUGCCUAUUUGUUAAUGUUCAUUUUCCGGUUUCCAAACAGGGUAGAUAAGGUUUUAUAAAAGUUUUUGCUUAGGUAUUUUCUAUGAGAGGAGAGGAAGGAUCACUUGAUUGGCUGGAAUUGAGGCUAUUUGAUCUUUCAACUGAAGGGGACGGAUGCUUUAUGGAUUCUUUUGUAGGAUAGUUCUUACUGAGGAGUGGGAAAUAAGAACCAAGAACAGGUGCUGGAAACUAUUUAUUGUAAAGAAGGGGAGGGCCGACGACAAUUGAAAGAGAUGCAAAGCUCCUUGCUCUGCAAUCUGGGGGAAUAUUUCCUUAGUGGAAGAACCUUCCCCCCGCUGGUCAAAUGAACAAACAGUUCUUUGCAGCAGAAAGCAGAAGAGUAUUGAACGUAUGUCUUGGCGUAACAAGAACUUAAUUACCACUUUUUAUGCACAGUUGUUAAAUCCUCCGUCAAAGUGGCAUUUCAAUUCGUAAAAAGAAUUGUUUGCUAUUUUCUUCAUUAGAUUUUUUCGCAAAAAUGUGCUGGUUUGUAAGUUGUCCCGCGAUGGCGUCUGUUGCUCUCAGAUCCAUCCAAGUUGUAGUAAUAUAUCUGUUUCAGAAUGCAACGUGUUGAGCCAAAAGCGACAGAUGCAGAUUGAAAAUUUGAUAUAACGAAUCGAUUUAUUAAUAUUUUGAGAA